GAUGAACGCUGGCGGCGUGCUUAACACAUGCAAGUCGAACGGAAAGGCUCCUGCUUGCAGGGGUACUCGAGUGGCGAACGGGUGAGUAACACGUGGGUGAUCUGCCCUGCACUUCGGGAUAAGCCUGGGAAACUGGGUCUAAUACCGGAUAGGACGAUGGUUUGGAUGCCAUUGUGGAAAGUUUUUCGGUGUGGGAUGAGCUCGCGGCCUAUCAGCUUGUUGGUGGGGUAAUGGCCUACCAAGGCGUCGACGGGUAGCCGGCCUGAGAGGGUGUACGGCCACCUUGGGACUGAGCUACGGCCCAGACUCCUACGGGAGGCAGCAGUGGGGAAUAUUGCACAAUGGGCGCAAGCCUGAUGCAGCGACGCCGCGUGGGGGAUGACGGCCUUCGGGUUGUAAACUCCUUUCGCUAGGGACGAAGCGCAAGUGACGGUACCUGGAGAAGAAGCACCGGCUAACUACGUG
rnacentral:rRNA from 1 species